UGGAGAGUUUGAUCCUGGCUCAGAACGAACGCUGGCGGCAGGCUUAACACAUGCAAGUCGAGCGCCCCGCAAGGGGAGCGGCAGACGGGUGAGUAACGCGUGGGAAUCUACCCAUCACUACGGAACAACUCCGGGAAACUGGAGCUAAUACCGUAUACGUCCUAUUGGAGAAAGAUUUAUCGGUGAUGGAUGAGCCCGCGUUGGAUUAGCUAGUUGGUGGGGUAAUGGCCUACCAAGGCGACGAUCCAUAGCUGGUCUGAGAGGAUGAUCAGCCACACUGGGACUGAGACACGGCCCAGACUCCUACGGGAGGCAGCAGUGGGGAAUAUUGGACAAUGGGCGCAAGCCUGAUCCAGCCAUGCCGCGUGAGUGAUGAAGGCCCUAGGGUUGUAAAGCUCUUUCAACGGUGAAGAUAAUGACGGUAACCGUAGAAGAAGCCCCGGCUAACUUCGUGCCAGCAGCCGCG
rnacentral:rRNA from 1 species